rnacentral:lncRNA from 1 species
AAAAAAAAUCACAAUUACACAUCUUGAGCGUCAAAAAUAAUGUGUAAAAAAUGCUACUAUGACACUGAAUUAACUCAGUUGAGAAUUAUUUCAUUAGUAUACAAAACUUUCAAUAAAUAAAAGUUGGAUUUAAUGUACUAGUAGAGUAGUAUUGAUUCCCUCCCACCCAUACUAACAAAAUUCAAUUAAACAACACUUGUUUUCUCGGUCCAGCGUAACAUUUCCGUAUGGACAAUGCAGUAGGAAGUUUCAUUUUACAAAACCUUCAACCAGU